UUUUUUUCUUUUCUUUUUUUCUUUUUUCUUUUCUUUCUAUCUUUCCAUCUUUUCUUUGUUCCUUUCUUCUUCUUCUUUCAUUCCUUCUUUCUUUUCUUUCUUUUUUUUCUCCCUUCUACUUUUUUCUUCUUUCUUUACUUCUCUUCUUUCCUUUUCUUCUUCUUUCCAUUAUUUUUCUUCUUUCUUCUUCUCUUCUAUGUUGAUGGGUUUUGGAGUCUGCCCGGACCCCAAUCCCAUUUUCUCACAACAAUGGAUGGGAGGUUGGGCGAUCCCUUAUCCCACCAAGAUUAAAAAUAUUGAUCUACAUUAACUUAGACUCCUUAAUAGAUUCCUAAAUAUGUUGGACUCCAUCUUCUCUCUAAUUUCAACUCA
rnacentral:lncRNA from 1 species